GCCGGAGUGGCGGAAUUGGUAGACGCAGGGGACUCAAAAUCCCCCACUCCUUGCGGGUAUGAGAGUUCGAGUCUCUCCUCCGGCA
rnacentral:tRNA from 1 species